UCCAGACUCCUACGGGAGGCAGCAGUGGGGAAUCUUCCGCAAUGGGCGCAAGCCUGACGGAGCAACGCCGCGUGAAUGAAGAAGGUCUUCGGAUCGUAAAGUUCUUUUCUUAGGGAAGAAGUCUUAGGUUGUGAAUAAUGACUUAAGGUGACGGUACCUAUGGAGAAAGCUCCGGCUAACUACGUGCCAGCAGCCGCGGUAAUACGUAGGGAGCGAGCGUUGUCCGGAAUUACUGGGCGUAAAGGGCGCGUAGGCGGGAACUUAAGUUAGAUGUGAAAACUCCGGGCUUAACCUGGAGACUGCAUUUAAAACUGGGUUUCUUGAGGGCAGGAGAGGAAAGUGGAAUUCCUAGUGUAGCGGUGAAAUGCGUAGAUAUUAGGAGGAACACCAGUGGCGAAGGCGGCCUGCUGGACAGUACCUGACGUUGAGGCUCGAAAGCGUGGGGAGCAAACAGGAUUAGAUACCCCGGUAC
rnacentral:rRNA from 1 species